UUAACACAUGCAAGUCGAGGGGCAGCAUGGUCUUAGCUUGCUAAGACUGAUGGCGACCGGCGCACGGGUGAGUAACACGUAUCCAACCUGCCGUCUACUCUUGGACAGCCUUCUGAAAGGAAGAUUAAUACAAGAUGGCAUCAUGAGUCCGCAUGUUCACAUGAUUAAAGGUAUUCCGGUAGACGAUGGGGAUGCGUUCCAUUAGAUAGUAGGCGGGGUAACGGCCCACCUAGUCUUCGAUGGAUAGGGGUUCUGAGAGGAAGGUCCCCCACAUUGGAACUGAGACACGGUCCAAACUCCUACGGGAGGCAGCAGUGAGGAAUAUUGGUCAAUGGGCGAGAGCCUGAGCCAGCCAAGUAGCGUGAAGGAUGACUGCCCUAUGGGUUGUAAACUUCUUUUAUAAAGGAAUAAAGUCGGGUAUGCAUACCCGUUUGCAUGUACUUUAUGAAUAAGGAUCGGCUAACUUCGUGCCAGCAGCCGCGGUAAUACGGAGGAUCCGAGCGUUAUCCGGAUUUAUUGGGUUUAAGGGAGCGUAGAUGGAUGUUUAAGUCAGUUGUGAAAGUUUGCGGCUCAACCGUAAAAUUGCAGUUGAUACUGGAUAUCUUGAGUGCAGUUGAGGCAGGCGGAAUUCGUGGUGUAGCGGUGAAAUGCUUAGAUAUCACGAAGAACUCCGAUUGCGAAGGCAGCCUGCUAAGCUGCAACUGACAUUGAGGCUCGAAAGUGUGGGUAUCAAACAGGAUUAGAUACCCUGGUAGUCCACACGGUAAACGAUGAAUACUCGCUGUUUGCGAUAUACGGCAAGCGGCCAAGCGAAAGCGUUAAGUAUUCCACCUGGGGAGUACGCCGGCAACGGUGAAACUCAAAGGAAUUGACGGGGGCCCGCACAAGCGGAGGAACAUGUGGUUUAAUUCGAUGAUACGCGAGGAACCUUACCCGGGCUUAAAUUGCAGAUGAAUUACGGUGAAAGCCGUAAGCCGCAAGGCAUCUGUGAAGGUGCUGCAUGGUUGUCGUCAGCUCGUGCCGUGAGGUGUCGGCUUAAGUGCCAUAACGAGCGCAACCCUUGUUGUCAGUUACUAACAGGUUCCGCUGAGGACUCUGACAAGACUGCCAUCGUAAGAUGUGAGGAAGGUGGGGAUGACGUCAAAUCAGCACGGCCCUUACGUCCGGGGCUACACACGUGUUACAAUGGGGGGUACAGAGGGCCGCUACCACGCGAGUGGAUGCCAAUCCCCAAAACCUCUCUCAGUUCGGACUGGAGUCUGCAACCCGACUCCACGAAGCUGGAUUCGCUAGUAAUCGCGCAUCAGCCACGGCGCGGUGAAUACGUUCCCGGGCCUUGUACACACCGCCCGUCAAGCCAUGGGAGCCGGGGGUACCUGAAGUGCGUAACCGCGAGGAGCGCCCUAGGGUAAAACUGGUGACUGGGGCUAAGUA
rnacentral:rRNA from 1 species